rnacentral:piRNA from 1 species
UAGCUAUUUACAUGACUUAGUUAAGAUGC